rnacentral:rRNA from 1 species
UGCCUGGCGGCCAUAGCGCGGUGGAACCACCUGUUCCCUUGCCGAACACAGAAGUGAAACGCCGUAGCGCCGAUGGUAGUGUGGCAGAUGCCAUGCGAGAGUAGGACACUGCCAGGCA